AGAACGAACGCUGGCGGCAGGCCUAACACAUGCAAGUCGAACGCUCGUAGCAAUACGAGAGUGGCAGACGGGUGCGGAACACGUGGGAACAUACCCUUUGGUUUGGAAUAACUCAGGGAAACUUGAGCUAAUACCGGAUAAGCCCGUAAGGGGAAAGAUUUAUCGCCGAAGGAUUGGCCCGCGUCCGAUUAGCUAGUUGGUGAGGUAAUGGCUCACCAAGGCGACGAUCGGUAGCUGGUCUGAGAGGAUGAUCAGCCACAUUGGGACUGAGACACGGCCCAAACUCCUACGGGAGGCAGCAGUGGGGAAUAUUGGACAAUGGGCGCAAGCCUGAUCCAGCCAUGCCGCGUGAGUGAUGACGGCCCUAGGGUUGUAAAGCUCUUUCACCCACGACGAUAAUGACGGUAGUGGGAGAAGAAGCCCCGGCUAACUUCGUGCCAGCAGCCGCGGUAAUACGAAGGGGGCUAGCGUUGUUCGGGUUUACUGGGCGUAAAGCGCGCGUAGGCGGAUCUUUAAGUCAGGGGUGAAAUGCCGGAGCUCAACUUCGGAACUGCCUUUGAUACUGGAGAUCUUGAGUUCGGGAGAGGUGAGUGGAACUGCGAGUGUAGAGGUGAAAUUCGUAGAUAUUCGCAAGAACACCAGUGGCGAAGGCGGCUCACUGGCCCGAUACUGACGCUGAGGCGCGAAAGCGUGGGGAGCAAACAGGAUUAGAUACCCCUGGUAGUCCACGCCGUAAACGAUGGAUGCUAGCCGUUAGGCAGCUUGCUGCUUAGUGGCGCAGCUAACGCUUUAAGCAUCCCGCCUGGGGAGUACGGUCGCAAGAUUAA
rnacentral:rRNA from 1 species